rnacentral:rRNA from 1 species
UACGUAGGGGGCAAGCGUUGUCCGGAUUUAUUGGGCGUAAAGCGCGCGUAGGUGGCCUCAUAAGUCCGCUGUGAAAGUCCAAGGCUCAACCUUGGAAAGCCGGUGGAUACUGUGAGGCUAGAGUACGGAAGAGGCGAGUGGAAUUCCUGGUGUAGCGGUGGAAUGCGCAGAUAUCAGGAGGAACACCAAUAGCGAAGGCAGCUCGCUGGGACGUUACUGACACUGAGGCGCGAAAGCGUGGGGAGCGAACAGG